UACGUAGGGGGCAAGCGUUGUCCGGAUUUAUUGGGCGUAAAGAGCGUGUAGGCGGCCAGGUAGGUCCGUUGUGAAAACUAGAGGCUUAACCUCUAGACGUCGAUGGAAACCAUCUGGCUAGAGUCCGGAAGAGGAGAGUGGAAUUCCUGGUGUAGCGGUGAAAUGCGCAGAUAUCAGGAAGAACACCCGUGGCGAAGGCGGCUCUCUGGGACGGUACUGACGCUGAGACGCGAAAAGCGUGGGGAGCGAACAGG
rnacentral:rRNA from 1 species